GAUCCUGGCUCAGGAUGAACGCUAGCGGCAGGCUUAACACAUGCAAGUCGAGGGGUAUAGGUUUUCGGACCUAGAGACCGGCGCACGGGUGCGUAACGCGUAUGCAAUCUACCUUUUGCAGAGGGAUAGCCCAGAGAAAUUUGGAUUAAUACCUCAUAGUAUAGCGACAUCGCAUGAUGAUGCUAUUAAAGUCACAACGGCAAAAGAUGAGCAUGCGUCCCAUUAGCUAGUUGGUAAGGUAACGGCUUACCAAGGCAACGAUGGGUAGGGGUCCUGAGAGGGAGAUCCCCCACACUGGUACUGAGACACGGACCAGACUCCUACGGGAGGCAGCAGUGAGGAAUAUUGGUCAAUGGGCGGAAGACUGAACCAGCCAUGCCGCGUGCAGGAAGACGGUCCUAUGGAUUGUAAACUGCUUUUGUACGGGAAGAAACACUCCUUCGUGAAGGAGCUUGACGGUACCGUAAGAAUAAGGAUCGGCUAACUCCGUGCCAGCAGCCGCGGUAAUACGGAGGAUCCAAGCGUUAUCCGGAAUCAUUGGGUUUAAAGGGUCCGUAGGCGGUUUAGUAAGUCAGUGGUGAAAGCCCAUCGCUCAACGGUGGAACGGCCAUUGAUACUGCUAGACUUGAAUUAUUAGGAAGUAACUAGAAUAUGUAGUGUAGCGGUGAAAUGCUUAGAGAUUACAUGGAAUACCAAUUGCGAAGGCAGGUUGCUACUAAUGGAUUGACGCUGAUGGACGAAAGCGUGGGUAGCGAACAGGAUUAGAUACCCUGGUAGUCCACGCCGUAAACGAUGGAUACUAGCUGUUGGAGGUAACUUCAGUGGCUAAGCGAAAGUGAUAAGUAUCCCACCUGGGGAGUACGUUCGCAAGAAUGAAACUCAAAGGAAUUGACGGGGGCCCGCACAAGCGGUGGAGCAUGUGGUUUAA
rnacentral:rRNA from 1 species